AAUGUGGUUCUCCUCUUUGGGUCACCUGGUCUGUGCUCAUUUUAAUUGCCUGACAGUUAGAUUUUACUUUUGAAUUAGGUAGCUAAACAUCUGUUCAUUCCUUAUGUUCUUUCUUCAAUUUGAUUUUUCGGAUAUUUAUAGGGCGAUCUGGGAACAUAGAAAAUUGCAAGCUUGGCCGCAGAAGAUCUCAUCUCUCAAAGCUGAGCACUACUGUUAUCAGAGAAAGUUCACAAAAAUCAAGUUCAAGAGUCCACAAUUGUGGAACACCGUACAGGCCAACUCUGCUAAAGGAAGAAGUGGCAGUCAUGAAUUACGUUUUUUUUAAUUAUUUUUCUUAGUUCUAAAAUUAGACUGCUAUAUAGGUGAUGCUUAAGUAGCAAGUUCCUUUAUUACUAAAUUUCACAUGAGAUAUUCGACCUCUUUGCUUUUGAAACUUCGAAACAUUUCAACCAUAUAAAAUGUAUCAUUCUUUGUAGGUCAAAUAUCUCUGUUUUAUUCGAUGAUUACACUUAAAUUAUCCAAGUUCAUGUGUCAUCCGUGAAAUAUAAGGAAGUUUUCCUGUUUGAGAUAUUAGAGGAUAAUUGACCAACAAUGAAACAUGAAGUGCCGUGCAAUUCACCAAUCAUCAAGAAUACCAUCUAAUAAAUGAAAAGAGCAAGAACACAAAUUAUUUGGACAACACAACUCUUUAUUGUCGUGAAAUAUUUAUCAAGCAACUAACUUCUUUUGUAUCUUGUACAUAGCACUCUACCUCUUGGAUAACUUCACAUCAGUACACUAACUCUUAUCACAUAUAGAAUGAAUUUGGUACAAAUAAAUGCUCCACUUUUAAGUGUGUCUUGUCAUAGCUCUAUUAUUGUUAGUUGUGCUGGCUCUAGCCUCUAGGUUCCUUUUGCAGAGGUGGAAGAUUUGUUUUUCACAUAAUUGGAGGCCUGAUUGUGUUGGCAAAAUCUUAUCUUGGGAUUAAAGAUUUCAUGUGGAAACAAAUCUUGCGAGUUUUUGCCAAGCUCAGUUGGUGGCAUAAAGCAAUUUUUGAGGGAAUGUUUCACAAAAGAGGACAACUUUGGUGAAAAAGAAAAGCUUACGUGGUAGAUUGCAUAAGCUUCUCUUCUACAAGCUCAAUGCAACGGUACAAAACAAGUUUAUGUGGAUUCAAAGUACAUAAAGUGUCAACUGCAAGCUGAUCAUAAUCAUUCUUGUUCUCUGUCAUAAUCCCACUCACCAAGGUGCGGAAAGGAAGCAGCCAUUCAUUGUAGGUCUUCACUAAAUUGCUCCUAGACAAUACUCCAGUGCGGUUUGUCUUUUCUGAUACAAAUAAGGACCAAAACCUUCACUUUUAAGUUUGAUUGAAUCUGCCAAUGACAAACAUAUGCAAAAAGCAAAAUUUUGUCCCACUAGACAAGAUCGACAACGUGAUCAGACAAUAAAGUGAUAUCAAAAAUUAUUUACACUUUUUAAAUAAAAAGUUAAUCUUAUCUCCUGUUAUAGAAAAAUCCAACAUUCAAGCAGUUCGUUGACUAUAUUUUGCUACUCAUUAACUACUAUUCUCUGAGCAUUAGCUGAUAAAUCAUAGACGUUAUAGAGAAAUUCUUACAAACUACUAGUUUAACAUCUCAUUGUUAGGCACGCUAACAAUAUAAGCAGUCUUACUUACUUUAUUUAAAAUAUAUCCAUCUAUCUAUGGAUCCCACCAAGUUUUACGUAUGCAAAAAUAAUAUUGUAAACUUGAGUAACCUAGUGUCAACAAGGUAACUACUGCCAACAAAUUACCCUUUUAGAGCCCUGACAAAGGAGGAACAAUGUAACUGGCAGCCUUGGUCAUAUUACUUGAGUAACCUAGUGUCUGUUCCAACUAGAUUAACAGAAACAUAGGAUCAAGAUAUUAACAAAAA